AGUAACGCGUGGGCAACCUGCCUCAUACAGGGGAGUAACAGUUAGAAAUGACUGCUAAUACCGCAUAAGCGCACAGCAUCGCAUGAUGCCGUGUGAAAAACUCCGGUGGUAUGAGAUGGACCCGCGUCUGAUUAGGUAGUUGGUGGGGUAACGGCCUACCAAGCCGACGAUCAGUAGCCGACCUGAGAGGGUGACCGGCCACAUUGGGACUGAGACACGGCCCAA
rnacentral:rRNA from 1 species